GAUGAAGAACGUAGCGAAAUGCGAUACUUGGUGUGAAUUGCAGAAUCCCGUGAACCAUCGAGUCUUUGAACGCAAGUUGCGCCCGAAGCCAUUAGGCCGAGGGCACGCCUGCCUGGGCGUCACACGUCGUUGCCCCCCCAUCUACUCCUUCGGGAUUGCGGGGGGCGGAUGAUGGCCUCCCGUGCGCCUCGUCGCGCGGUUGGCCUAAAUGCCAAGUCCUCGGCGACGCACGCCACGACAAUCGGUGGUUGCGAAACCUCGGUUGCCUGUCGUGUGCGGUCGUCGCGCAUCGAGGGCUCGAAAAAAUUGCCGGGCUUCGGCUCGACAUUCAACGCGACCCCAGGUCAGGCGGGGUUACCCGCUGAAUUUAAGCAUAUCAAUAAGCGGAGGA
rnacentral:misc_RNA from 1 species